rnacentral:lncRNA from 1 species
UUUUUAUUCACUUAUUAGUGAGAUUUUGUCACUAAUAUUUGUAAUUUCAGGAAAACAAAGAAAACGACGAAAAAAUCCUGUGGAAAAGCUGCGAGAAAAUUUUCCACACCCGUAUGGGUUCCACGUGCUACGCACAUGCGAGCACGGGGUUAGCUAGGCAUGUGCCCACGCGCAUGAACUGUCCACGCAGGGCGUAAAGUGCACAGUCUACCCAUGCGACACAUUGCGCACAGAUGGCACGUGGCUUCAUGUUCUUGUGUGCGAACCUGUGCACACAAG